UGCGAAAUAAUUGCCAGAGUCAC
rnacentral:piRNA from 1 species